AUAAAAAACAACAACAACAACAGGAAGUCACUACCAGGCUGGAGGGGAAGAAGAGGAGGAUCCACAUCACAAGACAGAAGCUGGAACCAGACUGGGUCUGUCCACCCACGCUCAGGCCAUGGAGGAGACAGAUCGUCAGGCUAUCUACCACUGUGGCUUCCACUAGCCGUGGUAGCAGGAAGAUAGCCCUCCAGAGCACACAGGAAAAACAGCUGGCUGAGGUCAGGCUUCCGACGGCACAGAGCACAGAAGAGAAGGGCUGCCAGCUCGGCCCACCGAGCUCCUGGGCGAGGUACUUACUGAUCGCUUCCACAAACUGCUCAAAGAAGCUGUAAGGGA